rnacentral:rRNA from 1 species
GUGGGGAAUAUUGGACAAUGGGCGCAAGCCUGAUCCAGCAAUGCCGCGUGCAGGAUGAAGGCCUUCGGGUUGUAAACUGCUUUUGUACGGAACGCAACGGCUCUCUCUAAUACAGGGGGCUAAUGACGGUACCGUACGAAUAAGCACCGGCUAACUACGUGCCAGCAGCCGCGGUAAUACGUAGGGUGCGAGCGUUAAUCGGAAUUACUGGGCGUAAAGCGUGCGCAGGCGGUUAUGUAAGACAGUUGUGAAAUCCCCGGGCUCAACCUGGGAAUUGCAUCUGUGACUGCAUAGCUAGAGUACGGUAGAGGGGGAUGGAAUUCCGCGUGUAGCAGUGAAAUGCGUAGAUAUGCGGAGGAACACCGAUGGCGAAGGCAAUCCCCUGGACCUGUACUGACGCUCAUGCACGAAAGCGUGGGGAGCAAA